CAACUAAGGGAUUGGGGGCACUGACUAUAAAUCAGUUAGGUAUACCAGGUGGUCUAAUUUCCCAAAUGUCUCAGUGAAUAAUCCAGUUUCAAGAGCAUUCUU